AGCGAACGCUGGCGGCAGGCUUAACACAUGCAAGUCGAGCGGGCACUUCGGUGUCAGCGGCAGACGGGUGAGUAACACGUGGGAACGUACCCUUUGGUUCGUAAUAACGCUGGGAAACUAGCGCUAAUACCGGAUACGCCCUUUUGGGGAAAGUCUUGCUGCCGAAGGAUCGGCCCGCGUCUGAUUAGCUAGUUGGUGGGGUAAUGGCCUACCAAGGCGACGAUCAGUAGCUGGUCUGAGAGGAUGAUCAGCCACACUGGGACUGAGACACGGCCCAGACUCCUACGGGAGGAAGCAGUGGGGAAUAUUGGACAAUGGGCGCAAGCCUGAUCCAGCCAUGCCGCGUGAGUGAUGAAGGCCUUAGGGUUGUAAAGCUCUUUUGGCAGGGACGAUAAUGACGGUACCGGAAGAAUAAGCCCCGGCUAACUUCGUG
rnacentral:rRNA from 1 species